GGAAGUGGAACUGCUGGAUCAUAUAGCACAUCUAUUUUUAAUUUUGAGGAAAAUCUGUUUACUGUUCUCCAUAGUGGCUGAACCAGUUUACAAUCCCAACAACAGUGCACAAUAGUUCCUUUCCUCCACAUCCUCACCAACACCUGUUAGCUCUUGUCUUCUUAUGACAGCCGUUCGUACAGGCAUGAGGUGACAGCUCAUUGUGGAUUUGGUUUGCACUUCCCUGAUGAUUAGUGAUGGCCAGGACGGUUCUGUUGUAAACCAGUGACUUCCUUCUAACGGCUCAGACAGUCAUGAACAAACGCGACAUGAAAGGCCAGCACAAGAGCUCAGGACCGUAAGCUCCAUCAGUGGACAUGGUCUGUCUGAUGCACUUACCAGGAGGGGAAUACUAUCCAGGAUGGAACACCAAGGAAACCUCUGAAUUGCUCAAAAUGUAAAAAGAAUCCUGAUACUUUAAAUGAUGUCUAAAAUGGUUUUGUUAAGUCGAAAAACACCAGCUGAGAUUUUGAUUUGCAACUCAUCUUAGGUUGGGCUCCUCAGGAAAUGGACAUCGAGAUGAAGAUUUGCAGGCAGGUAACGUUUGGAGAGUUGAAAUAGCUUCAGCCAUUGCUGUGAAGUCUCCACAAUUCUUUGAAGAAAGUUACUCUUCAAACCGCAACUGCUGUUCAAUAAAAAGAAAAGAUGCUGUGGUCAUGGUGUUUGUGCAAUAUUUCUGCAGUAUCAACUUUUGAUUCAGGAAGAGGGGGAAAAAAACCUGUAGUUUCCCCAAGGAAAGUCU
ensembl:lncRNA